rnacentral:rRNA from 1 species
GGUCAAGCUACUAAGGGCGUACGGUGGAUGCCUUGGCGUCAGGAGGCGAUGAAGGACGUAGACAGUUGCGAUAAGCCUCGGGGAGCCGCUAAACAGGCAUUGAUCCGGGGAUUUCCGAAUGGGGAAACCUGCCUGAGUAAACCUCAGGCAUCAUUAGCUGAAUACAUAGGCUAAUGAGGCUAACGAGGGGAAGUGAUACAUCUCAGUACCCUCAGGAAGAUAAAUCAAUUGAGAUUCCCUGAGUAGUGGCGAGCGAAACGGGAAGAGCCCAAACCUCUUUGCUUGCAAAGGGGGGUUGCGGGACCUCAAUAUGGGAUGUGGCGGAAUAGCAGAAGGGUCUGGAAAGGCCUGCCAUAGAGGGUGAUAGCCCCGUAUGUAAAAUUCCAAUACACCCUAGAGGUAUCCCAAGUACCACAGGACACGAGAAAUCCUGUGGGAAUCCGGGUGGACCAUCAUCCAAGGCUAAAUACUACCUGACGACCGAUAGUGCACUAGUACCGUGAGGGAAAGGCGAAAAGAACCCCGAAAGGGGAGUGAAAUAGAACCUGAAACCGUAUGCCUACAAACAGUUCAAGGGCUAUGCCCCGCAAGGGGAAUGCCUGAGAGCGUGCCUUUUGCAUAAUGACUCAGCGAGUUACUGUGCGUGGCAAGGUUAAGCCGUAAGGUGGAGCCGUAGCGAAAGCGAGUCUUAAAAGGGCGACAAGUCGCGUAUAGUAGACCCGAAGCCAGGCGAUCUACCCAUGGCCAGGAUGAAACGAGGGUAACACCUCGCGGAGGUCCGAACUGGUGUUUGUUGCAAAAAGCUCAGAUGAGCUGUGGGUAGGAGUGAAAGGCUAAACAAGACUGGUGAUAGCUGGUUCUUCCCGAAAUAUAUUUAGGUAUAGCCUCGUGAAAUUAAUUGCCGGGGGUAGAGCACUGAAUGGGCUAGGGCCCUUACCGGGGUACCAAACCCAAUCAAACUCCGAAUACCGGUUAAUUGUAUCACGGGAGUCAGUCCGUAGGGGAUAAGCUCUAUGGUCGAGAGGGGAACAACCCAGACCGCCAGCUAAGGUCCCUAAAUGCAGGCUAAGUGGAAAAGGAUGUGGAACUACUUAGACACCCAGGAGGUUGGCUUAGAAGCAGCCAUCCUUUAAAGAAAGCGUAACAGCUCACUGGUUUAGUGGGGCUGCGCCGAAAAUGUACCGGGGCUCAAGCCUGCUACCGAAGCUGCGGAUUUACAGAAUCUUCGGAUUCUAUAAGUGGUAGGGAAGCUUUCCAGUAACCUGUGAAGGUGGAUCGUAAGAACCACUGGAGGACCUGGAAGUGCUUAUGCUGAGAUAAGUAGCGUACAAUGCGGGUGUAAAACCCGCACGCCGUAAACCUAAGGUUUCCUGGGUAAAGUUAAUCUUCCCAGGGUUAGUCGGGACCUAAGCCGAGGCCGAAAGGCGUAGGUGAUGGAAAACGGAUUAAUAUUUCCGUACCGCCUGUUUAACAUUUGAGCGAAGGGGGGACGGAGGAGGGUAGGUCAUCCGGGUGACGGUUGUCCCGGUUCAAGCCAGAAGGCGGGGAAGGCAGGUAAAUCCGCUUUCCUAUUCAACGCUGAUGGGUUAUGAGGAGGAAAGCCGCAAGGCAGACCGAACUGACUAAGCCCACACUUUCAAGAAAAGCCUCGUAGCGAGUUAAUUAGGCGCCCGUACUGCAAACCGACUCUGGUAGGUAGGUAGAAUAUACCAAGGCGCUUGAGAGAACCCUGGUUAAGGAACUUAGCAAUCUAGCCCCGUAACUUCGGGAUAAGGGGUGCCUCGCUAGGGUUUAUAGCCCGAGGAGGUCGCAGAGAAAUGGGGGUUGCGACUGUUUAACAAAAACACAGGACUCUGCUAACACGAAAGUGGAUGUAUAGGGUCUGACGCCUGCCCGGUGCCGGAAGGUUAAGGAGAUUUGUCAGCCGCAAGGCGAAGCAGAGAACCGAAGCCCCGGUAAACGGCGGCCGUAACUAUAACGGUCCUAAGGUAGCGAAAUUCCUUGUCGGGUAAGUUCCGACCUGCAUGAAUGGCGUAACGAUAGCCCCGCUGUCUCAACCAGGGACUCAGCGAAUUUGAAAUGCCAGUGAAGAUGCUGGCUCCCCGCAUCAAGACGGAAAGACCCCGUGCACCUUUACUAUACCCUGGUAUUGGAUUUUGGAACAAUCUGUGUAGGAUAGGUGGGAGACUUUGAAGCCGGGCCGCUAGGUUCGGUGGAGUCAAUGUUGAAAUACCACCCUGAUUAUUCUGAAAUUCUAACCUUGACCCGUAAUCCGGGUUGGGGACAGUGCCAGGCGGGUAGUUUGACUGGGGCGGUCGCCUCCCAAAUUGUAACGGAGGCGCGCGAAGGUUCCCUCAGGCUGAUUGGAAACCAGCCGGCGAGUGUAAAGGCAUAAGGGAGCUUAACUGCAAGACCUACAAGUCAAGCAGGUGCGAAAGCAGGUCUUAGUGAUCCGGUGGUUCUGUAUGGAAUGGCCAUCGCUCAACGAAUAAAAGGUACGCCGGGGAUAACAGGCUGAUCUGGCCCAAGAGUUCAUAUCGACGGCCAGGUUUGGCACCUCGAUGUCGGCUC